GGUCAGGCAAGAACACCCGCUGAACUUAAGCAUAUCAAUAAGCGGAGGAAA
rnacentral:rRNA from 1 species